UACGGAGGGUGCGAGCGUUAAUCGGAAUUACUGGGCGUAAAGGGUGCGUAGGUGGAUAAUUAAGUUAGAUGUGAAAGUUCUGGGCUCAACCUAGGAAUUGCAUUUAAUACUGGAUAUCUAGAGUAUUGCAGAGGGUAGUGGAAUUUCCAGUGUAGCGGUGAAAUGCGUAGAUAUUGGAAGGAACAUCGGUUGCGAAGGCGGCUACCUGGGCAAAUACUGACACUGAGGCACGAAAGCGUGGGUAGCAAACAGG
rnacentral:misc_RNA from 1 species